rnacentral:lncRNA from 1 species
CCCUUGUAUCGAGCUGGUACAAUGCUCCUUUACUUGUCACUAUCGUUAACCACAUAUAUACACUGAAAUUGCCAAGGGUGGUAUUUAUAGGCCCUGCUGAUUGCUGAAUCUUAGCGACAGAGAGCAGAGAAAAGUAUGAGAGCGAAAGACAGCAGAGAAAGUAUGGGAGGCACCCACAUUGCAGGACUGGCCAGUGUGGUGAUCCUUUUGUGAAAAAGAGUGAGCAAAUCCCCUGCACGUAGACCUAACCUUUUUUAUGUUUGGACUGAUGAGGAUCAUACAAGUUUCGCGAGUGAUCAGGUCCAGGAGCAGGCCACAGAGGCCUCGUCGUCUGUCCAGAUGGAGAUCUUCUUCACCUGGUUCCCUUGGUUUCGGUAGUGCUCACCAGCUGUGCUCAUUUGUUAGUUAUUGAUCUCUUGCCAAGUUCUUGCUGGGUACAUCCCUCUUGCUGUCGUUGCCAUGUGUUGCUCAGCUCAAGUGGACUCGUCUCUCCUCCAGAUAAUGCUUGUUUUCUUGCAG